UCAAAGCAGCCACCUGCCGGUUAGUGAGGGGCCAGCCCAGCCCAGGGCCCAGCAGGCUUCCCGCAUGAAUUCUGGGGUCCCGUGGGCACUGGAAACGCAGGCCUCGUGUUCAGAAAAUAAGAUGAGAGACGGGAGAAUGAAAAGCCGCUCCAUACCCAGUGGACGCGCCGCAACACGGAUCCGCCCCAGCGGCUUCUGUCGCAGACCGCCCCUCCCACAGCGCCCGCCGGGAGAUCGGGGCGCACUCAGCCGCCCUGUCAUUCCCCCUGUAAAUGUUGUUCAAACCUGUU